GAUGAACGCUGGCGGCGUGCCUAAUACAUGCAAGUCGAGCGAACAGACGAGGAGCUUGCGGCUCUGACGUGAGCGGCGGGCGGGUGAGUAACACGUGUAUAACCUACCUAUAAGACUGGGAUAACUUCGGGAAACCGGAGCUAAUACCGGAUAAUAUAUUGAACCGCAUGGUUCAAUAGUGAAAGACGGUUUUGCUGGCACUUAUAGAUGGAUCCGCGCCGCUUUAGGUAGUUGGUAAGGUAACGGCUUACCAAGGCGAGGAGGCGUAGCCGACCUCCUAGGGGGAUCGCCCACCUGGGAGCUGGGCCGCCGUCCAGACUCCUACGGGAGGCAGCAGUAGCGUACCGUCCGCAAUGGGCGGAAGCCUGACGGAGCAACGCCACGUGAGUGAUGGAGGUCUUCGGUUCGUAAAACUCGGUUAUUAGGGGUGAACAAAUUUGUAAGUAACUGUGCACGUCUUGACGGUACCUAGUCAGAAAGCCCCGGCUAACUACGUG
rnacentral:rRNA from 1 species